rnacentral:rRNA from 1 species
CAACUUUUAGCAAUGGAUCUCUUGGUUUCCGCAUCGAUGAAGAGCGUAGCAAAUUGCGAUAAUUAGUGCGAAUUGCAGACCUUGCGAAUCAUCGAGUUCUUGAACGCAUCUUGCACCUAGUAGUUUAUUCUUCUAGGUACGGUUGCUUCAGUAUUAC